GAUGAACGCUGGCGGCAUGCCUAAUACAUGCAAGUCGAGCGAACGGACGAGAAGCUUGCUUCUCUGAUGUUAGCGGGUGACGGGUGAGUAACACGUGGAUAACCUACCUAUAAGACUGGGAUAACUUCGGGAAACCGGAGCUAAUACCGGAUAAUAUUUUGAACCGCAGGGUUCAAAAGUGAAAGACGGUCUUGCUGUCACUUAGAGAUGGAUCCGCGCUGCAUUAGCUAGUUGGUAAGGUAACGGCUUACCAAGGCAACGAUGCAUAGCCGACCUGAGAGGAUGAUCAGCCACACUGGAACUGAGACACGGUCCAGACUCCUACGGGAGGCAGCAGUAGGGAAUCUUCCGCAAUGGGCGAAAGCCUGACGCAGCAACGCCGCGUGAGUGAUGAAGGUCUUCGGAUCGUAAAACUCUGUUAUUAGGGAAGAACAUAUGUGUAAGUAACUGUGCACAUCUUGACGGUACCUAAUCAGAAAGCCACGGCUAACUACGUG
rnacentral:rRNA from 1 species